CCCGUCACGUCAUGAAAGCUGUCUGUACCCGAAAUCAUCUUAGCUAACUCGUAAGAGAGGCGGAUGCUUAAGGUGUGGAGAGUGAUUGGGACG
rnacentral:rRNA from 1 species